CCGGGCUGCGGACAGUGUCUGGUGGGUAGUUUGACUGGGGCGGUCUCCUCCCAAAGAGUAACGGAGGAGCACGAAGGUUGGCUAAUCCUGGUCGGACAUCAGGAGGUUAGUGCAAUGGCAUAAGCCAGCUUGACUGCGAGAGUGACGGCUCGAGCAGGUGCGAAAGCAGGUCAUAGUGAUCCGGUGGUUCUGAAUGGAAGGGCCAUCGCUCAACGGAUAAAAGGUACUCCGGGGAUAACAGGCUGAUACCGCCCAAGAGUUCAUAUCGACGGCGGUGUUUGGCACCUCGAUGUCGGCUCAUCACAUCCUGGGGCUGAAGUAGGUCCCAAGGGUACGGCUGUUCGCCGUUUAAAGUGGUACGCGAGCUGGGUUUAGAACGUCGUGAGACAGUUCGGUCCCUAUCUGCCGUGGGCGCUGGAGAAUUGAGGGGGGUUGCUCCUAGUACGAGAGGACCGGAGUGAACGCACCACUGGUGUUCGGGUUGUCAUGCCAAUGGCACUGCCCGGUAGCUAAGUGCGGAAAAGAUAAGUGCUGAAAGCAUCUAAGCACGAAACUUGCCCCGAGAUGAGUUCUCCCUGACUCCUUGAGAGUCCUGAAGGGACGUUGAAGACUACGACGUUGAUAGGCCGGAUGUGUAAGCGCAGCGAUGCGUUGAGCUAACCGGUACUAAUGACCCGUGAGGCUUAACCUUACAACGCCAGAGGCGUUUUG
rnacentral:rRNA from 1 species